rnacentral:tRNA from 1 species
UCCCAGGCAGUCCAGUGGUUAAGACUCUGCACUUCCAAGGCAGAGGGUGCAGGUUUGAUUCCUGUUUGGGGAA